rnacentral:misc_RNA from 1 species
UCAAGUGCGGCGUGGCCCCUUGGCCGAGACCCGGUUUCUUGCGUUGCGUACCUACACACGAUGGCAUCCGGUUUUUGUCCCAACGACCCUCGUUCGUUUAGUGCCUCCCCGUUCCGGUGGGGGCACAAGGCGAAACAUUUUUAGCUUGGUCCGUUGCCCACGUCGCGUCCGGCUGUCGUGGUGAACGGGGCAGUGCCUAAGCUCUCGGAUAUGGAAAAGCAUUUGAGGGCAUUGACAUCUCAUCCUUGCCCGAGCAUGCAUUAGAUGGACCCCAACACACCGGUGCACGACUGUCGCUCCCGCCUCGGUUCGGCCGUGCGGGCAGGACGUCGUUGAGGAAUGCUACCUGGUUGAUCCUGCCAGUA